GAACCACUGCUGCUGUGAAUCAAGAGGUCCUAUAAGAGCCUUAGUUAAAAGACCUUUAUUUGGGCUGGGGUGGGGGGGUGGGUAAGGGAUGCUACAUUCAUCAUAAAUAUGAAGCAAAAAAAAAAAAAAAAGAAAAAAAAAGAAAAAAAAAACCUACAUGUUGCAGGGAAAACACUGUGAAUUUCACAAUAGCAACCAAGUGACUAUUUUGCCAUCUUUUAAACAUAUGUCUCAGGAGAAGAAAUGGGAAAUGAUGGGUGUAUUAUUUUACUGUCUAUGCAUUCUAGACCAGGUCUGUGGGGACUUUUUUGUUUGCUUGUAGAAGGUUCCGAGUGAUGACUGGCUGGUAUUUUAUAAACACUGAGUACUUUGUGCAAGAAUAAUAGAAGCUGCCAGUAGUAAGGCCAUUUGAUUGGAAUACGUAAGAAAAUCAAAUCUUUCCAGAGGCCUAUAUAUUGCAGCUUAUAUGUAUCUUUCUGUAAUGAAGAAAAGCAGCUAAGAAUGUUUUAUACAAAAGCAACUUAAUUCAACACUGAUGCUUAAUUGAAUAGAGAAUCAAUUAACUAUGAAAUAUUUGCCCCAGCCCUGCUCUCCACCUAUACUUUAUGUAUAUAUAUAUUUCUAGAUAUCUCUCUCUUUGUCACUCGAGAUAAGGAGGAAGAUACCUACAUAUAAAUAUAAAUCUCUAUAUUGUCACCAAACUGUGACCUGGUGUGUAGAGCUAUCUUUCUUCUUUCUUUUUUCCUUUUCUUUCUUUCUUUUUAAUGUGAUGUCUCUGUGCAAAUAUUUAGUGGUUCUUGUUUUGCAGUUUGUUAUAACAGGUCAUUGCUUUAAAACUUACAUUGCAUCUUGGCUGAUUUCAAAGUGAUGCCUAGGUAUCAGUGUUAAGUUUUGUUUGUGAAUCAUGUGACCAGUUUCUCUCCACAUGACAUGGAAAGUCUCUUGUAUUCCAGUGUAUUUAAUAAAAAUGAUGUCUUACAAUAAACAAUGUCAUCCAAAACAAAGAUAAAAUGAUUACUUCAAAGACCUAC
ensembl:lncRNA